rnacentral:lncRNA from 1 species
AUGGUAGGGGGAGAUCCGCUUAUCACAACGUUUCAACAUGGUGGAUCAUUUAUUUGCCGGCCGAUGACAAAUAUGCCAGAUUUACGCUGUCUACAAAGUCCCCAGGAUGAUCACUGGCUGGUGAGAAGCGUCACGCUCAGAGGGAAACCAGACAGAGGGACACAUGUUUGUGCACUCCUAAAUGAAGUGUGACCACAGUGGACCUCUAAAGCAGGGGCUGAGCUGGGGGCUAUUAUGGGGCCUGACGGUAGGGGGGCGCUGUGAUAAUUUGAUGUGAACUGGCUUGAUAAAUCACUAUGUUGUUACCCUAGCUUUAGUAUCUGUUUAUGUCUCUACAAAUUGAAACCCCACUGGCACAGGGCUGAUGUAGAGCCACUCUCUGGCCCCCCAACGAUUAGUUCAAGGUGGGGAGAGUUUAGAUGGCUGGCCUCUAUUGGCCAUCUCCCUCUUGCUGUUUUGUCUCUCCCUGCUGAGGGAGAAAGCCAUGGACAUGUGUAAGCAAUAAAGCCAAAGGUCUGCCUUCCACCGCAGCCUGAGUGAAAGGAAUGCAGAACCAAACUAUAAAAUAAUAAUGGGUACUGGGGCACGGAAGAGGCAAGGGAGGGUAGAGGUUGGUGGAGAGGGAGCCAUCAGAGGCAGACACAUGUGCAAGGAAGGUGGAGUGUUAAGGUGGGGUGGGGUCCUGAAGCAGAGCCCUCCUCUGACCCCUGGACGUGCAGUUAAAGGCAGAGCGUAGCAAGCAGCCCAGGCUGGCACCACAUCAAAAGGCUGACAGAUGAAGGGCAAAGGCCAGUUUGACCUGGGCGCUAAGCUGCUGCUAAGCCUCUUAAAGCCAGAGGAGAGGUGCAGUAACGGGGAGAGAGAGGCAGCGAGAGGGGAGUGAGACUGACGAGGAAGGAAGGGAGUGAGGGAGACUAAAAGCAAGGAAUAUCAUUCACAACUCCCUCCUCUGUGAUAAUCAAAGGAAUUAUAAAAAAACAAGUCAUGUAGACAAUAAAUACAGAUGCACAGAAGUCAGAAGAGAUAACAUUAAGUACCUUGUAUGGAACUGUCGCACAAGGGGUAUACUUCAUCUAAAGCUAAUAAACCAAAAUCCCUAAAGCCUGUUUAAAGCAGGUUUUUCAUAAUCACCGAAAAUAAACUACA